rnacentral:lncRNA from 1 species
UUGUGUUUUGUUUGUAUAGCCACAAAUUCAAAUUUGAUGAUAGACUGUGAUGGUCUCUAUAUCUGGACUUCCAUGUAGCCUUGGUUAGUAUUUUUCUAUGGUUUAUCUUAGAUUUAUAACGUAGUCGGGGCAUUUGUAAGAAGGAUAUUACAUGAUCUCGAUGAUGAUGAUGAUGAUGAUGAUGAAUGCAAAAGGCAGCAUGAGUUGACAGCUUUCCCGAGCUAGUGACAGGUCAUCACAUGGUAUGA